UACAGAGGGUGCAAACGUUGCUCGGAGUUACUGGGCGUAAAGCGCGUGUAGGCGGUGCCGCACGUCCGGUGUGAAAGCCCAGGGCUCAACCCUGGAAGUGCACUGGAUACGACGGCGCUGGAGUCCUGAAGAGGAGGGCGGAAUUCCCGGUGUAGAGGUGAAAUUCGUAGAUAUCGGGAGGAACACCAGUGGCGAAGGCGGCUCUCUGGGCCGAUACUGACGCUGAGGAGCGAAAGCGUGGGGAGCGAACAGG
rnacentral:rRNA from 1 species